rnacentral:rRNA from 1 species
CCCUUAGAUGUUCUGGGCCGCACACGCGCUACACUGAAGGAGGCAGCGUGUACUCCUGGAUCGAAAGAUUUGGGUAACCCGCGUAUCUCCUUCGUGCUAGGGAUUGAGGUUUGCAAUUAUCCUUCAUGAACGAGGAAUUCCCAGUAAGUGCAAGUCAUAAGCUUGCGCUGACUACGUCCCUGCCCUUUGUACACACCGCCCGUCGCUACUACCGAUUGAAUGAUUUAGUGAGGACUUCGGACUGGGACCGAUGCGGCUUUCGGGCUGCGUCGGUAUUCUGGAAAGAUGUCCAAACUGUAUCAUUUAGAGGAAGUAAAAGUCGUAACA